UAAAAAGGAAUGAAAUCUUUCCAUUUGCAACAUGGACAGGGCUAGAGCAUACAGGGCAAAGCAAAAUCAGUCAGUCAGAGAAGGACAAACACCAUAUGAUCUCACUUAUAUGUGGAAUUUAAGAAACAAAACAAAUGAGCAAAGGGGUAAAAAAGGAGAGACAAACCAAGAAACAGACUCUUACCUACAGAGAAGAAAUUGAUGGUUACCAGAGGGAAACUGGGUAGGGGAUGGGUGAAAUAGUUGACAGGGAUUAAAGAGUACACUUAUGAUGAAAAAAAUAAAAAAAGAGCCCAUAGAAUGGUCAUCAAUGUAGACCACAGACUGAACCAUACAACAAACUUCAAAAAAUUUUAAACACUGAAACCAUAAAGUAUAUUCUCCACCACAAUGUAAUAAAACUAAAAACAAAAGGAAACUCUCCAAACAUUUAUAAAUCAAGUGAUAUACUUAUAAAUAAACCACCUGUGAAACAGGCAGUCUCAAAGUUAAUAAAGAAAAAUACACAAAACUAAAUGAAAAUAUACCAUACCAAAAUGUGUGUCAUGGGGCAUAACUCCCUAUCCCUUACUUGUGAGCCCUACAUAGUGAAUUCCUUCCAAAGAUUACAGCAUAGGUGGAAGUAGAGUGCAACUUCACAGCGGAGAAACCUGGCAAACACUACCUAUGUCACAUGAUCAAACUGAAUAUCAGUGAUAAGUCAGGCUGAUCACAUGCACCCUUGAUGUAGUAUAAUGAAAUGUCACUUUACCUCUGUAGUCUUUCCUGACAGAAAACCCAUAAGCCUAUUUUGAGCAUUUUUAAAAAAUGAAAAAAAAAAAUCAGACAAAUCCCAGUUGAGAAACACUCCACAAAAUAUUUGACCAGCACUCCUUGCAACUGUCAAAGUCUUCAAAACAAAGAGAGUCUGAGGAACUGUUACAGUCUAGAAAAGUCUAAGGAGACGUGAUGAAUGAAAGUAAUAUGAUAUACGGGAUCAGAUUCCGGAACAGAAAAAAAAAGAAUGUUAAACAAAAAUGAAAGAAAAAGAAAAUGUGGACUCGAUAAUGAUGCAUCAAUAUUGGUUUAUUGGUUGUUACAAAUGUAUCAUACUAGAAUAAAAAUUUUAAUUUGAAAUAUAACACGCCUUUCUCCUGCCAAAUGUUGGGGACCUAAGCCUAGGCAAAGAAUUCUUAGCACCAAAAGCAUAAUCCAUUAAAGGCAAAAUUGAUAAGCAUAUCCUCAUCAAAAUUGAAAACUUUUAUUCUAUGAAUUAUGCAGAAAAUGAUAUGAUUGGAAAAAAUAUUUGAAAAUCAAUAUCCAACGAAAGACCCUGUAUCUGGGAUAUAUAAAGCACUUCCACAACUGAAUACCAGACAAACAACUCAAUUAGAAAAUGGGCAAAAUCAUAACGAGACACUUCACCAAAGAGAAUGUACAGAUGGCAAAUAAACACAUGAAAAGAUGUUCAACUUCAUUAGCAAAAUGAAAUGCAAAUUAUACCCAUCAUAUAUACCUACCUAUCAGAAUGGAUAAAAGAAAAAACAGUGACAAGAUCAAAUGCUGGUGAUGAUGCAGUGCAACUGGAUACAUAGCUAGUGGAAAUGUAAAAUGGUACAGCCACUCUAGAAAGAAGUUUGGCAGUUUAUUAUAAAACUGAACAUGCACUUACCAUAAUACCUAACUCUUGAGCAUACAAACCUGAUAAAUGAAAUAAAGCACUAAGCAAUAAAGGCGGCAAACUAUUAAUACAUACAAGUAUUUAGAUCUUAAAGGAAUUAUUAUGCUGAGUAAAAAACAGCCAAUCUCAAAAGGUAAUAUACUGUAUAAUUUCAUUUAUAUAACAUCCUUGAAAUAACAAAAUGAUAAUGGCUGCAGCUUAUGAGAGAUUCUUACAAUGACAAACAAUUCCAUAUUUUUACUGUGAUGUUUACACAUGUGCCAAAACUUAAUAGAACUAAAUACACACCCAAAUAAGUGCAUAUUAAAUUUAUGAAGCCUAGAUAUAAUUGGUGGGUUUAUCAAUGUCAUAAUUGUGAUAAAACUGCUCUGUAGUUAUGCAAGAUGUUACAAAGGGGGAAAUCUGAGUGAAGGGUUCAAGGAAUCUCUGUAUUUUUUUCCUAUGGCUGCAUUUGAAUCUAUAAUUAUCAGAAACUAGAAAGUUUAAUUUAAAAAGCCAAUAAUGAAAUAGAAAGGCACAUAUUUAAAGGAUUGUUAAUUUCUUUCAUAAUAAGUCUGUGUUAAGGAUUGAAAGAGAGCUUUAGCACAGUGACUGGCAAAAAGGAACCAAUAAAUGUUAACCAGUUCUAUCAUUAUUAUUUCAAAAAACUAAAGAGACAACACUUUUCCUUUAAAUAGAUAUUAUUUAUUUAAACAGGUUUUGAAAGGACUUUUUAAUUGCACUGAUUUUUUCUUUUUUCAUUCUUAACAAACCAAAAUCAUUAAGAUGUUUAAUGCUUGUGUACAAUACCCAAGUAUCAAAGAAUAAAGUGGAUAUGAAAAAAAGUUUUUAAAAUACCAUCUAAACAUAUUUGCCAUUUCCUCAUAUUAACAUGUUCUACUUUGAAAAUCACAAGUAAAUAUUAACCAGAUUACAUGGUGACCAGUCGACCUAUCAAUUAUAUGAAUAAACUGCUAGGUGUUACAGAAAUCAUAAAAAGACAAUUAGAAAUAAGUGAUAUAACAAUGCUGUUCUAAACUUUUUCAGCAACAGUAAAUCCUUCCUUGUCUUAUGUUUUCUUAUUGAGGAAGAAUAAAUUAGUUCUUUGUGCAAAACUAUGCAACCUUGUUUAUGUUUUCUGAGGCUAGGAUGUUAAUUUGGUCCGAUCUUAGAAGCAGCUAUGUAAAAAGAUGCAGCUGAAUAGUUCAGAACAUUUUAGAAUCCUAAAUCAUGUAUCCCAUUUCUAGUCCAACCGUGAUGCAUACACGGACAAUGAUGGACAAUGAAAGGUCAUCUGGAUUCUCUCCAGAUGUGCAGGGAAGGUACUCUGCCUUAUCCAAAUUCAGAAGGCUCAAUUAGGAGACACUCAAAUCCCAAUUCCUUGUAAUCUGUACACUAUUCAAUAUAUAAUAAGGACUACAGGGCUGUAUCUACAUAAUCUUUCAUGUACUUAUUAUGUAUCAAAGUUUUCAAGAAAGACCAUUACCACCUACCCCUAUAGGAUAAAGUUAUCCUAGCCAGCAACAUAGGGUAAAUUUACUUUUGAUGAUUCCUUAUUUUCAGUGUUUAAUUAUACACAUUAAGGAAAAAAGGUCUUUCAAAAUCCUGUUACUAAAAGUCUACUACAAGCCCUAUGAGACAAACAAGCUCGUGUAACAAAAAAUAUGAUAUUCAGAGCUAUAAAAGGAGGGUAUUAAGUUCAGCUCUGAAGUAUAUCUUUACGGACUAAAUGUGUUUAUCAACACUUUGGGUAUGAAAAUCAUUUCUGACUCCUGAAUAAAUAUAGGAGACAGUCCCCAUUCUAGUUAAGCUGGGGAAAGGUGGGCUUCUACAGUAUUUCAUUCCACACCUAUUACAUUAGAGUUUAUAGAGUAGUGCCAUGGAAAUAUAAAUAUUUAACAAGAUACCUGGGUGUUUUUAUGCAUGAUUAAGAUUAAGAUCAGCUGCUCACUUAUACGUUAUCACUUAAUGCAGAAGCAAGAUGCUUUAUAAUAAUUUUUAUUCUUGCCAAAUAAGGAAUCUCUCUCAUUUUUCUAGGGUGAUAGAGCUUUGAGAUUGACAAAAUAUAUUAGGAGGGGUGAGUACAAAUUGCAUCAACACCACAAAUAAAGUUAUGAGCAUCUCCUGGAACACUUCUUGCUACCAAUGCCCCAUUUAAGGCAAGGGCAUCUAAGAGCAGGCCAGAAGGGACCUGCAGACAUGAUCACAGCUGAGCCUUGAUGGAAGUCUUCCUAGUUGUCAGUAAAGCCAACUGUGCUACCCUAUAGCAUCUGUGCCAACAGAAGCAAGCUGUCUGAGCCACUGGAUCCAAUUAGUUGUUGUUGUCUAAUUAGCUUGCAUACCAAAGGAAACAACAUUGAGAAAAUUCAACAAUCUCUCAUCAAAGCCUAAUAUUUAAAUUCCUUGCAUCAACUCAUCUAAAGCCAUUUGGCAGUGAAUCUGCCCUUUUGCCCGCCUACAUACCAAUUUUCUGCCUACUAUUCUGUCUCGUACUUUGGCAAAAUAUAAGCACUACAUUUGCUUUUAAUGGUUUUUAACAAAUGCAAAGCAAACUACAAAAAAGAAAAUAUGCAAUUCCACCCCCCAAAGCAACUGGUAAAAUGCAUCCACCAUUUAUUCAAUGGACAUUUCUUGAUGCCCAAUCUGAGGAGCCAUACUCAUGUUUGUGGCAUAAAUAUGUGUCUACCUGGUCCGACUUUUCAAUCUAAUAUUAAAAUUCUGACUUUUAGGGAUCCCUAGGUGGCUCUGGUUUAGUGCCUGGCUUCGGCCAGGGUGUGAUCCUGGAGUCCCAGGAUCGAGUCCCAGGAUCAAAUUCCACAUCAGGCUCCCUGCAUGGACCCUGCUUCUCCCUCUGCCUGUGUAUCUCUCUCUGUGUGUCUCUCAUGAAUAAAUAAAAUCAAUUUAAAAAAAAAAAAAAAAAGAAGAAGAAAUUCUGACUUUUAACUAUAACUAGAAUUUCCUAUUAUCAGAUAUAAAAUUCAUUUAUUUAUGAAUUCCUACCUUAGUUUUCGUAUCAUUACAUGCUAAAAUGUUAAUCAAGAGUUAUUAUUUUGUUAUUUCUCAAAAGUAACCAAUAUUUGCUACUAGCAAAUAUGAUGCUAUAAGCAAAUAUGAUGGAUAAGAGGGCAAUAGCACUAAGUAUGAAUGUCUUAUUCAAUUUAAAGAACACAUGUGGAAAAAAGACUGAGACCAAGACAUGUCAGUUAAAUGACAGGAGUCUAUGUUAUAGACUCGAAGAAACAGAGAUAGAAGAUACUUUUAGAAAUUAAUAAAUCUCAUCUUUUUUGUUUCAAAAAUUAUAAAAUUUGCCUGUCAAGAUUAGUGGCAUGCUUCAUUUUUCUUUUCUUUUCUAUUGUAACAAAUUUUCUGAACUGUUGCGUUACUUUUUACAUUAGAUCUUUUCUUUUGCAAAAAAAAAAAAAAAAAAAAAAAA
rnacentral:lncRNA from 1 species